CUUGUGCUCACUUGAGAAAUCAUCCAAGCUGGAUAAUACUUAUCCGAAAUAGACGGGAGCGUACUUUGCACAACAAUAAUACAUGAGCCCUGACGUUCUUCCAGGAAAUUGACAGCUUCUCUCCUCCCCCUACCAGCAACAGGAAACCAUUCAGGAAAUGUCCUAAUUCCCAUCCCACAUACAUGGAGCAAAAGGACAGUCAAGAAGAGCUGCAUAAACUGGUAGGUUGGAGCUUACCUGGUAGCAGCGCUCUGACCUCCAGGACACCAGGACCUCCG